UAGUGGGCGCGGAGGCCGGCGCGGCGGCGGUUCGUUGUCAGAUGAAAUUAGCGAGCUGCUUCUCCUGUAGGCUGAUGCAGGGCGGCCGUCGGUCUGCGACAGACCGUCUGUCUCUGUCGCACUGGUGGAGCGCCCCAGGAGCCCGAGAGGGAGACGACCUUCCCUCUCGAAAACAGUAUGGCUACGGCGACGACGACGGCAUUGUUUUAAAGCACUGGAUCUAGUGGAUGUAACGCGAUGUAUAAAGUGCAAUGCGAUGUUGAAUUAGAGUCCUUAAUGCCGGCAUUAAGGACUCUGACUCUAUGUUGAAUAUGUUGAAUUGGAGUCCUUAGGACUCUAUGUUGAAUCAACUGGGUGCACAAUUUUGCAUACUUAUCGAGCUAGUCUCCUUUCCGGAGGACCAUUCAAACUGCAAUAGCAAUAUGAUUGCCGCGCCCGCCGCUGCCGCUACCGCCACUGCAACAGGGACAGUGGUUCGCAACCAACUGACACUUAAGGCAUAAACUGUUUUUGCUCAUCCAUGGCACGCUGGAUGAUAAUGUACAUUACCAGCAGUCGAUGAUCUUGUCCAGGGCUCUGGAGGAAUGAUAUUCUCUUCAGACAGCAGACCUACCCAGAUGAGGAACAUGGUAUUGUGCAACUGCAAAAACACCUCUAUCAUACACUGGAGAACUUUUUAGGGGAGUGCUUUGCGGAAGUCUAGUCAGUGUGAAUGAAUGAUUCUGUGUAAAAGUGUACCUGAGUGUACAUAUGUGAUAAAAGUAUAGAUGUACAAACAAUGAAUAAAUGUGAAGAGAUGUU